rnacentral:rRNA from 1 species
AGUGAACGCUGGCGGUAGGCCUAACACAUGCAAGUCGAACGGCAGCACAGUAAGAGCUUGCUCUUACGGGUGGCGAGUGGCGGACGGGUGAGGAAUACAUCGGAAUCUACUUUUUCGUGGGGGAUAACGUAGGGAAACUUACGCUAAUACCGCAUACGACCUACGGGUGAAAGCAGGGGAUCUUCGGACCUUGCGCGAUUGAAUGAGCCGAUGUCGGAUUAGCUAGUUGGCGGGGUAAAGGCCCACCAAGGCGACGAUCCGUAGCUGGUCUGAGAGGAUGAUGAGGCAGACUGGAACUGAGACACGGUCGAGACUACUACGGGAGGCAGCAGUGGGGAAUAUUGGACGAUGGGCGAAAGCCUGAUCCAGCCAUGCCGCGUGUGUGAAGAAGGUCUUCGGAUUGUAAAGCAGUUUAAGUUGGGAGGAAGGGAAGUAAGUUAAUAACUUGCGGUUUUGACGUUACCAACAGAAUAAGCACCGGCUAACUUCGUG